rnacentral:rRNA from 1 species
GUAGGGAAUAUUGGGCAAUGGUCGGAAGACUGACCCAGCCAUGCCGCGUGCAGGAAGACGGCCCUCUGGGUUGUAAACUGCUUUUAUCUGGGAAGAAAAAGGCCAUGCGUGGCAAAUUGCCGGUACCAGAUGAAUAAGCACCGGCUAACUCCGUGCCAGCAGCCGCGGUAAUACGGAGGGUGCGAGCGUUGUCCGGAUUUAGUGGGUUUAAAGGGUGCGUAGGCGGCUGAUUAAGUCAGCGGUGAAAGACUUCGGCUUAACCGGAGCAGUGCCGUUGAUACUGGUUGGCUUGAGUGUCGGAGGGGUACAUGGAAUUGAUGGUGUAGCGGUGAAAUGCAUAGAUACCAUCAGGAACACCGAUAGCGAAGGCAUUGUACUGGCCGACAACUGACGCUGAUGCACGAAAGUGUGGGGAUCGAACAGGAUUAGAUACCCUAGUAGUCC